rnacentral:rRNA from 1 species
CAGUAGCCGCGGUAAUACGAAGGGGGCUAGCGUUGCUCGGAAUGACUGGGCGUAAAGGGCGCGUAGGCGGCGAUCAAAGUCAGGCGUGAAAUUCCUGGGCUCAACCUGGGGGCUGCGCUUGAUACUUGGUUGCUUGAGUGGGGAAGAGGGUCGUGGAAUUCCCAGUGUAGAGGUGAAAUUCGUAGAUAUUGGGAAGAACACCGGUGGCGAAGGCGGCGACCUGGUCCUUUACUGACGCUGAGGCGCGAAAGCGUGGGGAGCAAACAGGAUUAGAUACCCGUGUAGUCCCUGUCUCUUAUAC